UGAUCAAGCUACAAAGAGCGCAUCAUGGAUGCCUUGGUGCCAAUAGGCGAUGAAGGACGUGGUAAGCUGCGAUAAGCUACGGACAGCGGCAAACACGCUUUGACCCGUAGAUCUCCGAAUGGGGUAACCUGAGCAAGAUAACACUUGCUCGAGUUCCUGUGAAUCCAUAGCAGGAACAUCGCGACACCCGGCGAAGUGAAACAUCUCAGUAACCGGAGGAAGAGAAAUCGAAAGAGAUUCCGUCAGUAGUGGCGAGCGAAAGCGGAACAGGCUAAACCCAGCACUUUCAGUUGAUUUGAAAACUGCAUCUAAUUGGCGAUUCAAAAAUGAGGUGGCCAAUUUGAGCAGUGAAGUCAAUUGAAAGUGCUGGGGGUUGUAGGAGCCCGACGUGGUAGUGCAAAGGUUAGGUGAAGCUUCUGGAAAGCUGCGCCAUAGAGGGUGAAAGGCCCGUAACCGAAAACCGGAGCACGCCUAGGGAUUUCCUGAGUAAUACGAUGCACGUGAAACUUCGUAUGAAUCUGCGCCGACCACGGCGUAAGCCUAAAUACUCAUUGGCGACCGAUAGUGAACAAGUACCGCGAGGGAAAGGUGAAAAGAACCGCUGCGAGCGGAGUGAAAGAGUACCUGAAAUGAUGUGCUUACAAGGUGUCAAAGCCCAGCUACUUCGACUAAUUCGAAAGAGGAGCAGGAGUAGCGAGCGUCUAGAAUGUUUGGUUACUUCAAAAAUGACCGAGUUGGUUGAACUAGCUGGGUGAUGGCGUGCCUUUUGCUUAAUGAGUCUGCGAGUUACUAUCAGUGGCGAGCCUAAGGCGUUCUGCGCUGGAGGCGAAGCGAAAGCGAGUCCGAAAUGGGCGACUUCAGUCGCUGGUAGUAGACCCGAAGCGGAGGUGAUCUACCCAUGAGCAGGAUGAAAGUUGCUUAACCGCAACUGAAGGUCCGAACCCGUGAAGGUUGAAAACUUCUGGGAUGACUUGUGGGUAGGAGCGAAAGACUAAUCAAAC
rnacentral:rRNA from 1 species